rnacentral:rRNA from 1 species
AUUGAACGCUGGCGGCAGGCCUAACACAUGCAAGUCGAGCGGAUGAAGGGAGCUUGCUCCUGGAUUCAGCGGCGGACGGGUGAGUAAUGCCUAGGAAUCUGCCUGGUAGUGGGGGAUAACGUCCGGAAACGGGCGCUAAUACCGCAUACGUCCUGAGGGGGAAAGUGGGGGAUCUUCGGACCUCACGCUAUCAGAUGAGCCUAGGUCGGAUUAGCUAGUUGGUGGGGUAAAGGCCUACCAAGGCGACGAUCCGUAACUGGUCUGAGAGGAUGAUCAGUCACACUGGAACUGAGACACGGUCCAGACUCCUACGGGAGGCAGCAGUGGGGAAUAUUGGACAAUGGGCGAAAGCCUGAUCCAGCCAUGCCGCGUGUGUGAAGAAGGUCUUCGGAUUGUAAAGCACCUUAAGUUGGGAGGAAGGGCAGUAAGUUAAUACCUUGCUGUUUUGACGUUACCAACAGAAUAAGCACCGGCUAACUUCGUG